GCGGCGUGCCUAACACAUGCAAGUCGAACGCGAAAGUCCCGCAAGGGAUGAGUAGAGUGGCAAACGGGUGAGUAACGCGUGGGUGACCUGCCUUCGAGUGGGGGAUAACGUUCCGAAAGGGACGCUAAUACCGCAUGACAUCCUGCCUUUGAAGAGGCGGAGAUCAAAGCCGGGGAUCGCAAGACCUGGCGCUUGAUGAGGGGCCCGCGUCUGAUUAGCUAGUUGGUGGGGUAACGGCUCACCAAGGCAACGAUCAGUAUCCGGCCUGAGAGGGCGGACGGACACACUGGGACUGAGACACGGCCCAGACUCCUACGGGAGGCAGCAGUGGGGAAUUGUUCGCAAUGGGCGCAAGCCUGACGACGCAACGCCGCGUGGAGGAUGAAGACCUUCGGGUCGUAAACUCCUUUCGAUCGAGACGAACGGCUUCCGGGUGAACAAUCCGGAAGAGUGACGGUACCGA
rnacentral:rRNA from 1 species